rnacentral:rRNA from 1 species
CCGUAGCCCAAGAGAUCGGGAUAACACCUGGAAACAGAUGCUAAUACCGGAUAAUAACAGAUGAUGCCUAUCAACUGUUUAAAAGAUGGUUCUGCUAUCACUCUUGGAUGGACCUGCGGUGCAUUAGCUAGUUGGUAGGGUAACGGCCUACCAAGGCGAUGAUGCAUAGCCGAGUUGAGAGACUGAUCGGCCACAUUGGGACUGAGACACGGCCCAAACUCCUCGGGAGGCAGCAGCC